rnacentral:rRNA from 1 species
UAGUCUGGGAUACCACUUGGAAACAAGGUGCUAAUACCGGAUAAGAAAGCGGAUCGCAUGAUCAGCUUUUAAAAGGCGGCGUAAGCUGUCGCUAUGGGAUGGCCCCGCGGUGCAUUAGCUAGUUGGUAAGGUAAAGGCUUACCAAGGCGAUGAUGCAUAGCCGAGUUGAGAGACUGAUCGGCCACAUUGGGACUGAGACACGGCCCAAACUCCUACGGGAGGCAGCAGU